rnacentral:rRNA from 1 species
CUCGGUGUCCAUGGCGUAGGGGAAACACCUGUUCUCAUCCCGAACACAGAAGUUAAGCCCUAUAGCGGCGAUUAUACUGCGCAAGCGGGAAACUAGCACGAUGCCGAAU